GUUUUUUUAUUUUAUUUGAAGAAUUUAUUUUUUGGGUAAAUAAGGUCAUAAGAAAACU
rnacentral:tRNA from 1 species